AGUGAACGCUGGCGGUAGGCCUAACACAUGCAAGUCGAACGGCAGUACAGGAGAGCUUGCUCUCUGGGUGGCGAGUGGCGGACGGGUGAGGAAUACAUCGGAAUCUACCUUUUCGCGGGGGAUAACGUAGGGAAACUUACGUUAAUACCGCAUACGACCUACGGGUGAAAGUGGGGGACCGCAAGGCCUCACGCGAUUAGAUGAGCCGAUGUUCGAUUAGCUAGUUGGCGGGGUAAUGGCCCACCAAGGCGACGAUCGGUAGCUGGUCUGAGAGGAUGAUCAGCCACACUGGAACUGAGACACGGUCCAGACUCCUACGGGAGGCAGCAGUGGGGAAUAUUGGACAAUGGGCGUAAGCCUGAUCCAGCCAUACCGCGUGGGUGAAGAAGGCCUUCGGGUUGUAAAGCCCUUUUGUUGGGAAAGAAAUCCUGUCGAUUAAUACUCGGUGGGGAUGACGGUACCCAAAGAAUAAGCACCGGCUAACUUCGUGCCAGCAGCCGCCGUAACAC
rnacentral:rRNA from 1 species